CGGAGCAUUUUACGAGGUGCUGCAUGGUUGUCGUCAGCUCGUGCCGUGAGGUGUCGGGUUAAGUCCCAUAACGAGCGCAACCCCUACCUUUAGUUGCCAUCAGGUUAAGCUGGGGACGUCUAAAGGAACUGCCUACGCAAGUAGUGAGGAAGGCGGGGAUGACGUCAAAUCAGCACGGCCCUUACGUCCAGGGCUACACACGUGCUACAAUGGCCGGUACAGAGUGAAGCGAAACCGCGAGGUGAAGCAAAACGCAGAAAGCCGGUCUCAGUACGGAUUGGAGUCUGAAACUCGACUUCAUGAAGUUGGAAUCGCUAGUAAUCGCGCAUCAGCAUGGCGCGGUGAAUACGUUCCCGGGCCUU
rnacentral:rRNA from 1 species